rnacentral:lncRNA from 1 species
GAAAGACCAAGAUGGAAAUAAGCGAUUUGUGAAAACAGGAGGCAUAUUUGCCAGUUUUAUCAAGAAACCUGUGAUCAUCUGUGUGACAGCUCCUUUUAUUACACUUGGGAAUUGGAUGAAAUUACAAACAAGAAUGAAGAGACAGAUACACUGCACCUGUGAGUUCCCCUUCUGUUCAGCAGUGGAUACACG